rnacentral:rRNA from 1 species
UGGGGAAUAUUGGACAAUGGAGGGAACUCUGAUCCAGCAAUUCUGUGUGUGUGAAGAAGGUUUUAGGACUGUAAAACACUUUUAGUAGGGAGGAAAAAAAUGACGGUACCUACAGAAGAAGCAACGGCUAAAUACGUGACAGCAGCCGCGGUAAUACGUAUGUUGCGAGCGUUAUCCGGAAUUAUUGGGCUUAAAGGGCAUCUAGGCGGUAAGACAAGUUGAAGGUGAAAACCUGUGGCUCAACCAUAGGCUUGCCUACAAAACUGUUGAACUAGAGUACUGGAAAGGUGGGUGGAACUACACGAGUAGAGGUGAAAUUCGUAGAUAUGUGUAGGAAUGCCGAUGAUGAAGAUAACUCACUGGACAGAAACUGACGCUGAAGUGCGAAAGCUAGGGGAGCAAACAGG